AGUGAACGCUGGCGGUAGGCCUAACACAUGCAAGUCGAACGGCAGCACAGUAAGAGCUUGCUCUUACGGGUGGCGAGUGGCGGACGGGUGAGGAAUACAUCGGAAUCUACUUUUUCGUGGGGGAUAACGUAGGGAAACUUACGCUAAUACCGCAUACGACCUACGGGUGAAAGCAGGGGAUCUUCGGACCUUGCGCGAUUGAAUGAGCCGAUGUCGGAUUAGCUAGUUGGCGGGGUAAAGGCCCACCAAGGCGACGAUCCGUAGCUGGUCUGAGAGGAUGAUCAGCCACACUGGAACUGAGACACGGUCCAGACUCCUACGGGAGGCAGCAGUGGGGAAUAUAGGACAAUGGGCGCAAGCAUGAUCCAGCCAUACCGCGUGGGUGAAGAAGGCCUUCGGGUUGUAAAGCCCUUUUGUUGGGAAAGAAAAGCAGCAGGUUAAUACCCCGCUGUUCUGACGGUACCCAAAGAAUAAGCACCGGCUAACUUCGUG
rnacentral:rRNA from 1 species